rnacentral:rRNA from 1 species
AGAGUUUGAUCAUGGCUCAGAACGAACGCUGGCGGCGUGCUUAACACAUGCAAGUCGAACGCGAAAGGGACUUCGGUCCCGAGUAGAGUGGCGCACGGGUGAGUAACGCGUAAGUAAUCUACCCCUGUAUCUGGAAUAACCCACCGAAAGGUGAGCUAAUACCGGAUACGUUUAUCUUGAUGCGAAUGAUGAUAAAGAAAGGUGGCCUCUUCAUGAAAGCUACCGUACAGGGACGAGCUUGCGUACCAUUAGCUGGUUGGUAGGGUAAUGGCCUACCAAGGCGACGAUGGUUAGCGGGUCUGAGAGGAUGAUCCGCCACACUGGAACUGAAACACGGACCAGACUCCUACGGGAGGCAGCAGUGAGGAAUAUUGCGCAAUGGGGGCAACCCUGACGCAGCGACGCCGCGUGGACGAUGAAGGCCCUUGGGUCGUAAAAUCCUGUCAGAUGGAAAGAAAUGUACAGGUGUUAAUAUCGCCUGUAUUUGACGGUACCAUCAAAGGAAGCACCGGCUAACUCCGUGCCAGCAGCCGCGGUAAUACGGAGGGUGCGAGCGUUGUUCGGAAUUACUGGGCGUAAAGCGCGCGUAGGCGGUUUGCUAAGUCAGAUGUGAAAGCCCUCGGCUUAACCGGNGACGUGCAUUUGAAACUGGCAGACUUGAGUACUGGAGGGGGUGGUGGAAUUCCCGGUGUAGAGGUGA